GCUCAAAUUUGAAAUCUGGCGCAAGCCCGAGUUGUAAUUUGCAGAGGAUGUUUCGGGUGAGGCCGCGGUCCAAGUCCCUUGGAACAGGACGUCAUAGAGGGUGAGAACCCCGUACCUGGCCGUCGGCUCCCCCCGCUGUGAAACUCCUUCGACGAGUCGAGUUGUUUGGGAAUGCAGCUCUAAAUUGGUGGUAAAUUCCAUCUAAAGCUAAAUACCGGCCAGAGACCGAUAGCGCACAAGUAGAGUGAUCGAAAGAUGAAAAGCACUUUGAAAAGAGAGUUAAAAAGUACGUGAAAUUGUUGAAAGGGAAGCGCUUGCGGCCAGACUUGCCCGCGGUUGCUCAGCCCGCCCUUUGGCGGGUGCACUCUUCCGCGGUCAGGCCAGCAUCGGUUUGGGCGGUCGGACAAAGGCGCCGGGAACGUGGCCUCCCCUCGGGGAGGUGUUAUAGCCCGGUGCGCAAUGCGGCCAGCCCGGACCGAGGUUCGCGCUCUGCUAGGAUGCUGGCGUAAUGGCCGUAAGCGGCCCGUCUUGAAACACGGACCAAGGAGUCUAACAUCUAUGCGAGUGUUUGGGUGUCAAACCCGUGCGCGUAAUGAAAGUGAACGGAGGUGGGAACCGCAAGGUGCACCAUCGACCGAUCCCGAUGUCUUCGGAAGGAUUUGAGUAAGAGCAUAGCUGUUGGGACCCGAAAGAUGGUGAACUAUGCGUGAAUAGGGUGAAGCCAGAGGAAACUCUGGUGGAGGCUCGCAGCGGUUCUGACGUG
rnacentral:rRNA from 1 species